rnacentral:rRNA from 1 species
UACGUAGGGUGCGAGCGUUGCCCGGAAUUACUGGGCGUAAAGAGCUCGUAGGCGGCUUGUCGCGUUGUUCGUGAAAACCGGGGGCUUAACCCUCGGCGUGCGGGCGAUACUGGCAGACUUGAGUACUGCAGGGGAGACUGGAAUUCCUGGUGUAGCGGUGGAAUGCGCAGAUAUCAGGAGGAACACCGGUGGCGAAGGCGGGUCUCUGGGCAGUAACUGACGCUGAGGAGCGAAAGCGUGGGGAGCGAACAGG